CAGAGCCUGACUUGGGACUUGAACUCACAGACCGCAAGAUCAUGCCCUGAGCUGGUGGUAUGCUUAACCAACUGAGCCACCCAGGUGCCCCUAUGCUUGUGUUCUUAAGAUAGAACUUCUUUCAGGUUUUCUAAUACUAAUCAAGUCUUGCACUUUUUAUGUUAAAGGUUUUUUGUGUUUUUUUUUUACACAGAGGAUGUAUAUAUUUGGAAUGUUUAUUUUCGUGUUGCUUAAAAUAACAGAAUGAUGAAUAACAUGUCCAAUAUUUAAUGUUCAGCAUAGAUGUGGGUAAGUAAUAGUACCUCACACUCAGCUAACAUUACUGGGAUGAAUGAAUUAUCCACAUAAUGAUAUAGUAAGGUAUUACAAUAAUUUAAAGAGGUCCCUAGUUGAGCAUAGAUCUAACUAGCUGGGUCAUGUCUACUACACCAGUGUGGGGAGAAUCUUACUGGCUUGAAACAAAGAUUUUUCCGAUGAGUUGCUGUUGUGCCCUGUGCAUGGAAGUAUGAAAUUCCAUUAAAGGAAGCUGUUGUUAGAAAUAAAAUGGCUGAUUUUGUGUAAAAGUAGAUAUGACCCAUGAUCCAUGUGAGACAACCUUGGAGACGCUCAUGUCGUUGGGAAACAGCGCAGGCUGGAGAUCCUGCAUUAGCAUCUAGGAGUAGAAGUACUUGUAAGUACCAAGCAGUAUUCUAAGCACAUCACAUUAACUGAAUCCCCUCAUCAUCACUGAGAAGUAGGUGGUUAAUUCCCACAUUGCAUCCUACAGACAAGUGAAUUGCUUGAUGUCACAGUAGGAAGUGGCAGGUCUGUGCCACAUUGCCUUUAUUAAAUGAAGAAUAUUAUGUGGGGAAAAUGGAUGUUAUAAAAGGAGAAAUUAGGAAUGGGGAUCAAAAGGAUUUCCAUCUAUUCUGAAUGUCCUCAAUUAUAAUGUUCUAUUAACAUGAUAAAAAGGGCACUUUAUUUUGAAGUAUGCUUCAUGCCCAGUGUGGAGCCCAGUGUGAGGUCUGGACUCAGAGCCCUGAGAUCAAGACCAGAGCUGAGAUCAAGAGUCGGAUGCUCAACUGACAGAGCCACCCAGGUGCCCCAAAAGGACACUCUUUAAAUAGGCUUUCCUCUAUCAUAACUUCUAACCAGUUUAUAUUCACUAAAGACCAUAUGAGAAGCUUACCAGCAGUAGUCAGAUUAAUUUCACCUUUUCGAAAUAAACCAGGAUAAAACCAUUUUGCCCUGAUCCUACUUAAGCCUAGUUCUGAGAGCAGAAGCUGGCAUUUUUGCUAUGUUUUUAUAUUUAAGCUGGCAUUUUUAGAUAAGCCACUGUAUUCAUUAUGUGCAUAGCUAUUUGAAAGUAUAAGAAUGUCAUAAUUUAACGUGGAAAGAGCUGGAUUUAUUUGAAAAUGCCCUUGGUUCUUGGGCUCUGCGAGCCUGCUGUAUUAUAGGCCCUGAUUCUUUGUCCCAUCUGAUCCAUUGAUUAAAAUCACAAUUUGAAGACUUGGCAGGAGGUGCAUGUCUGCUAGUCUCCCAGAAUUGAUUGGGAGUGUUGGAGACAGUCAUAGGCUAUCCACCCUACACAACAGGGAGGAAGGAGAGUGACAGAUGUCCCUGACAUGGGUUUCUAUGUUUUCACUUAAUUUUUUAAAUUAAAAAAAAAAAAAAAACUUCUCUUUCUGCUGUCCUCCCACGUCUCAUUUCUUGUUGAACAGUCACAGAAAUAAUACUGAUAGCAGUAAUAGUAAUAGGCAUUUUUCUCCUCGUCUUCUGCCUUUUUGGUGUUUUUCAGUGUGAGCACGCACAUACGUAAAUGCACACAAAGACUGCUGAAUUCUGCACAAACACUGGCUGGAGUACUGUCUGUGAUCAGCAGUUGGCUUACUGGCAAGCAGGCCCAGAACUGUAGGUCAGGAUCUCCAUUCAUGCUGUGAUCUGUCCGUGGUACUUGGCAAAGCUCACUAGCAAUGUGAAAAGAUUCCCAGCCAGCCAUGAAAGCACAGUUGAUUUAAAGCUAUCCGAGAUGGGAAAUUGUGCUCUUCACUCACUUUUCCUCUUUCCACUUGCUGGGAAGGGAUGACAACAUGAGCAACCAUCUUAGACCUAGGAAUGAAGCCAUGGAGCCUUCCACCAGCUGUAUACCUGGAUGACUAUGUGGAGCAGAGGCACCCAUUCAUUCCUAUCUUAUUUGAGCCCAUUUAUUUUGGAGAAAUCCUCUUUUUGCCAUUUUUUCAUAUGCCAACUGCUUUGUUGCUCUCUCAACUAGACUCCAAGUAAGAAAUGACAUCUGGUCUUCUUUUUUUUUAAGUUUAUUUUUUUUAGUAAUCUCUACACCCAUGUGGGGUGCG